rnacentral:misc_RNA from 1 species
GGGAUGCCCAGCCUGGAUCACAUACUGUGAGCGUGAGGUCUCAUGGUGUGACGGUUGCAUCAUAUACAGUGAGGUCCCAUGGUAUAACAGUGGCAAGGACUCAUUUAAAUGACUGGAUGAUCCUAAUAAUACUUUUGGGGAUAGUUGUCCUUCUGAAUGUUAUCCAUCCGUUUUACCGGUUUGUUGGGAAAGACAUGAUGGAAGACCUCAAGUAUCCUUUAAAAAGU